CAUUUUUUCAUUUACAAUAUUUUUCACAGUCCUGAUAUUUUGUAUAAGGCAGAGCUUCAGUUUGUAUUGACCUUUUGAAUCAAAAUGAAUAUUUUGGGUUUUAUUAUUAUCUAUGUCUUAGUAACAGUAGACGGGCGUGAGUGGCAAAUUCCCGUAUAUGAAGAAUAUUAUACUGAUUACGACAUCAUUCAUGAAGCUCUUCCGUCCGAUGAAUUUUAUCAUUCUGAUAGUCAAGAACCUUUGUUUGAAACACCAGCAUCUACAGAUUUAAUAUCAAACUACACUGAUGAAACUUCCUUGUUGACCGAAACUGGCUAUAACCCUGAAUCGAUUUAUUAUACGGAUCAACAAAACGACAGUCAGGAUUUCAACUACUUUCAUUCUGGGAAUGGAAGUACACAAGGCUUGGAUCAGAUACGUUUUUUGCAAGUAAACACAAAGUCCUUGAAAACAGAGGUUUUUAUACUGUGGAUCCUUAUACCUGUGUCUGUGUUUCUUGGUGUUUAUUUCUUGACCAUGUGUUUCACUUAUUAUUAUUUGACGAGUAAGCGCUCAGGGGUAACUAAACAGACUCAGACUGAUGAAGCGGUAUAUACUUCAUGGAUAACUAUUUAUCCCAACGUGAACACUUCACCUACUUCUUUAAAUAAUAUGAAUUUCAUAG